rfam:Lentinula edodes NBRC 111202 DNA, contig: scaffold192.
UCCAAUGUGGUGUAGUGGCCAACAUUGCUGUCUUUCACACAGCAGCCCGGGGUUCGAUUCCCCGCAUUGGAA